GCCCUCUGUAGCUCUGUGGCCUUGGCGGACUCUGUCCCCCUUGCCGUGGUCCUACGUCUUUACACACACACUGUAAUGAAGUAUCAUGGAAUGUAUGCCGCGUCUAACGCAAUACAAUACAACUUUCAGCAACGGAUCUCUUGGCUCUCGCAUCGAUGAAGAACGCAGCGAAAUGCGAUAAGUAAUGUGAAUUGCAGAAUUCAGUGAAUCAUCSAAUCUUUGAACGCACCUUGCGCCCUUUGGCUAUUCUGRAGGGCAUGCCUGUUUGAGUAUCAUGAACACCUCAACUCUCACGGUUCGCCGUGAUGAGCUUGGACUUUGGGGGGACUUGCUGGCCUACAGGUCGGCUCCUCUCAAAUGGAUCAGCUUGCCAGUGUUUGGUGGCAUCAUGGGUGUGAUAACUAUCUACGCUCGUGGUUCUCCGCCAGGUAACCUCUGUCACCCGGARGUUCGCUGGAGCUUA
rnacentral:rRNA from 1 species